CCCCGACUCCAUCUGCCGGCCGUACUCAAGAGCAACCAUGACCUAGGGCAGAAACUGUUCAAUUUUUCAGGUUUCAAAUUAUGGAUCCACUUCCAGGAAGGAGCAGGGAUUUGCUUAAGAAUCAUAAGCAGCUGUGUCUUCGUUCAUUUCUAGGUUCAGAGAUUUGAAGGAUUGGCUCCGUCUGCUUUAUUAUUGCAGUGUUCCAAUAGAAGAAGAACAAGAAGAGGAGUGAUAGAUUUCAGUUUGGUUUGAAAAGUUCAAUUACUUACGAGGACUAUGUUGCCUGUUUUGCUUGAUUCACGCUGCCCAUUUCAGAAGCGUAUGCCUUUGUGAUGGGGGAUAACCGCAACAACAGUUGACUCUCAUAACUGGUUUGCUGACUGUGGUGCAGAAGGACUUUAGACUUCUACAUUAUCAACAGUUGCAUUUCGAUGAUUGUGGAGAUCGU
rnacentral:lncRNA from 1 species